rnacentral:misc_RNA from 1 species
AAAUAGUAUUCAGUCCCGUAGACGACCACACCUGUGUGCCAGAUGGCCUCAAUGGCCUUCCCCAAAAACGUCGUCGAUAACUGGCGAGCAAGCCCCCGGCUGAGAUCGUAGAUGUUCAAUUUAACACUGUAUCCAUCCUCUGCCAUUACAACCAACAACUAGAACUCGGUCUUCAGCAAAAAAUCCCGAUCCAACAAUCCCUGAGAUCUAAACAAG